UACCUAUUCUUUUCUUUAUAUCUAUCAUUGUAAAAUUUUUAUUUUUGUUAUAUUGGCAUGGUCAUUUGUAUUUUCAUUUUAAUACUGGAGAAAGAUCUUUCUGGUAGCAACUUAGUGUUUCUUAGUAAGUACUUAAAAAGGAGUUAAAUAUUAUUUUAUAAAACUUUCAGUGGGUGUUAAAGUACAACUAUUGAACACCAGAAGGAAGAAGUAGCUAUUUAUUUAUUUAUUGUUCCUUCAGAGAACAUCUUUUCAUCGUUCAAGGGCAGUCAUUUCUAGAAUAAAUAAGGAUCCUUUAUUCUGUCAAAUGAAAAAUGAAAACGUUUUAUGGGAUUGAUACUGUCACUACAGCAGUGCUGCUUAAAUAAUUAGUUGUCCUUACUGAAAUACAGGAUCAUUGACUUGGUGAAUAUCAAGCUGACAAGUCAUCCUGUUAAAUUUCAGUUUGCUAGUUCCUAUUAAAAAUUACUUUGAUCGUUCUCUCAUAAUUGAUAUCUGCAUAUGGAGUACCUGAUAUCAGUUUCACAGUUGGAAUAUAUUUUUUUGUUAUUUCUGGUUUCUUUUACUGUAAUUCACAUACUAAACUGUACCUCAGAACUUAACAUGUAUUAAUAAAUAACAACGUUCUGAGUUCUCAUUUCAUUUUUUCAGAGAUCUUGUUGCUCUAUACAAGCAAUAAAAACCAGACACUCUUGAAAACCUGUUCCUUUUUUCUGUUUCACAGAAGAAGAUACCGAGUGCAGAUUGUUUAAGCCCUGGACAGCCACUGCACCAAGUGUGUCACAGGGGGUCCAGGUUUCUGGAGCCUGUGGGAGCUGAUGUGUGCUCAGACACAGGAAAGGCUUCUCAGCAGAGACUGGAGCCUCACUCAGCAGGCAGAGCACAGAUGUUAAAUUUCAACAAAUUGAAAAUAACCCCCUAUAACAAGAUUUUAAUGGGAAUAAAUUGCAGCUUCUGCAUAAAGGUAAGAUCACAAAUAUAUAAGAUGAUUGGACAAUAUAUCCAAGGAAGUUAAAUAGACUAUUUGUAGUUGAUGUUUAUGAAAAGAGAAUGAAGUGUUUUUCAGCAGUUGAAGGCAUUAGGUUAGCAGUCACAGCACAAAGUCAAAUAUAAAUUUUACAAACCAAAUGGCUGGUAAAGAUUUAACUUCUAUUUAAAUGAGAGAAGAUCAUGAUUCAGGAGUAAAAAUCAGUAAUUAACAUGAUUCAUUAUCAGCAGGCUCAUGAGUGUCUUGCCUCUAAAACUCAUAAGCAGAAACUUCUUAAAACCCUGGAUGCUGAAAAAUGAUGGGGGAGGAGAAAUAAAAGCAGAUUUGGCAAGCUACAUCUUGAUGAGAUAUUAGGCUUAAGAGUGAGGAAACAAGAGAGUUGCAUCUGAAAGCUCUGUCAACCUGCUAAAUACUUCAAAAGAAGCAGAUUUAAAAAAAAAAAAAAAAAAAAAGAAAAAUCAGUUAUAUUUGGAGAUCCACAGCUGUGUAAAUAUGUGGGAUUCCUUAAAAUCAGAGGGUUUUGGGCACGUUGCAAAAGGCAGGCCUCAGAGACAGCAGCAGGAUGGUGAUUAGAGCUAAGCAGUAGUUAUAAGAGUUGUCAGCAGAAAAAUUAUACAAGAAGUAGAAAGAAAGGACAAAUAGAACAAUGGUCUGUGUAUUAACGCUUGGGUAGAAUAACUUCCUAAAUUGCAGACAAGUAUAUCUGGUGAGAUAUUAAGAAGGUCUAAGCUUAAUAAUGGAGCUCUGUGCAUUGUAUCUUAAGGCUUACAAGCAACUAUUGUAUUCGAAAUAAGCAAGCAUUGUUUUAACUAAAGGUAUGUGUGCUUAUAGUGAUUGGAUAGAACUACUGUCAAUAUGCUUUUGCUUUGUGUGAUUGGUCAAAAAGUUUAUAAAGAAAAUUGUAACAUUAAGUUCUUGGUCUGUUGCCUGGAUGUGAAGUGCUGGCAUCUUCCCAUUGUCAUAACCAUGUAAUGAGACUGAUGCUAAAAAAUAAACAGCUCCAGAUGCUUACCACAGCAGCCCUGUCCCGUUCGUGACUUGUACGUAGCCCCCGGCCAGCGACAGAAAUAGAAGGGCCUGUCUGGCUGGGGAAUGCAGUCUGGAUGUGUUCUUGUGAUCCCCAAGGGAGAUGAGGAGGUUCUUGGUGGACUUGGUGGGUUCUGAGGUGAUUUUGUGACUGCCCACACUGGGCUCGGUGUGGCUUUGGCUCCCUGAGUAAGGCAGGGCCCAGGGGUGCCCCAGCCCUGCCUCUGCUCCUUGUGCCCCUGGGCUGAGUCCCAGCUCCAGGAUGCUGCCAGAGCACUGGAGAACAGAACAAUGUUGGAGCCCCUGUGCAUGGCCAGGGCUCCUGUGCUACCCUUUCCUCUUGCCAGCAGCCCCCCCUGCCUCCCUUUCCUGCGGGACUGCAUCUCUGAGCUAGAGGAGAGAGGGAAAGGGGGGAGCUCAGCCAGCUCAGACACUGCCCUGUGCCUGAGGGCAACCUGAGGGGAUGAGAUGGUGGGGAAAGGGAACAAGUACCACAGCUGUGAGCUGCUUCUUUGGCUUGUGGAUGCUGUGAAUGUACACGUGUGGCAGUGUUAGGAAAGACACUCUUUCACAUGUUCAGUGUUUGGAUAUUGAGCUGUCCCCCAGCAGAGAUCUGGUGUGGGUCACUGGGGGCCUGAUGGGAGCAGUCUGUGCUGGUACUUUGAGACAAGAUUCUGUUUUUGAGAUGAAUUUGUGUAUUGCUGCAUUCAGUGAAACCCUGAGAUGUGCCUUGAGUCCCUGACAAGGAAAGGAAAGGAAAGGAAAGGAAAGGAAA